ensembl:lncRNA
GAAUAUAGCCAGUAUUUUGCAAUAACCAUAAAUGAAGUGUAACCUUUAAAAUCAGUAUAAAAAAAUUUUCUAAUUCAUCAAUCCAUGUGCUUCCCUGGUGGCCUAGGAUACAGGGGUUCGAUUCCUGAUCCAGAAGAUCCCACUUGCGCAGCACAGCUGAGCCCAGGCACCACAACUCCUGAGCCUGUGAUCCUGAGCCUGGGAGCCGAACCCACUCAGCCCACGUGUUGCAGCUACGAAGCCCGCUUGCCUCAGAGCCCGCGCUGCAAACCUACAGGAGCCGCUGCAAUGAGAAGCCUGCGUGCAGCAAGGAGAGAAAAGCCCCAGCAGCGCUGAUGAACCAGCGCAGCCAAAGUAACAAAUAAGUAAAAUUGUUUCUAAAAGUCAUCAAUCCGGGAGGCGUAAGGAGAAGAAUCACGCCCCCCUCUCUGUGGCUGUUGCUGCUGUAGACAGGCGCUAUCCAGGGGAUGAGGGGCAGGCGACUCGUCCUCAGGGACCACUCCCCCCCAGGAGCCCGGUGGUGGUCGGGGGGCUGUGCCACCCCCACUGGAGCCAUUACCCUUUUGAACUAUCUGUUGGGGGUGGGGGGCAGAUCAGAGGGUUAAAACAGGAAGAAGGAGCUGAAUUACCCCCAGGCUCCCGGGAAACCCACGAGAAUCAGACGGGAGGAACUGCCACGAAGAUCACCGAGCACAUGGCUGGGAAACAGAACUAAAACAUGAAAACGGAUCGUCUUAUUACAGAUGGUCACGAAUGAGAAGCCAGCGUGGGAGAAGGAAGCCCAGGUGAUGGUCGGCCCAGACAAGGGGGUCAGCUCCGGAGUGGACUCUGAGAAGGACCCCACACCUGCGGAGGGGCCUCUCGCAGCCCUCCUGAGGACACGCGGUCACAGGCAAACGCAGAAACACCCGCGCGGCCCUGGAUGCCGAGGCAGAACCCAGGACGCCAGCCUGCAGCCUGAGCGAGUCUUCGGAGUUUCCGGGCCCAGCGCCGCCUGGAACGGCGCCCGCGGGUGGACUAGAGAGAUGCUCAGCUGCGGGCAGAGAGGACCAAGGCCGUGCCGCCGUCUGCAGAGGGCACGGGCAUGCCAGGUCCCCGGAGGAGCUGCAGCCUCACUGUGCAUCGCAGGCUCAUUCCCUCAGGAAGACGGAGGACACAGCGUGGCUCUGCUGGCCUGUCCCCUUGUCCUCCGCCGGCAGUGACGCGGCUGCAGGCUCACAGCACAAGCGUGCUCUGGCCCCAGACACCACCCGGCAGAUCAGCGGCCUCUCCCAGUGCCCGCCUGCUUCCUUGGCACGCCCUGCUCGCCCAGGCGGGCACCCCAGACGCCUGCCCAACCCCAGCCCAGAGUGCUGCAUCCAGUGGUCCCGGAAGACCCCCACGCCAGGAAUGGCCGCUGACCGGCUGAAGACCACGGCCACUUUCCAGGCUGGGAACUUGGAGCAACAAAGCAAAGCCCUCUCCAGUCUCCUUCCUGGAGGGUCUCAGAAGACGCCCCCGCUUGUCAUCUCAAAGGGGCUCAGAGCCCCAGGUCUGGCCCCUGGCACUUCUGGAGUAGGCUGGGGAUCCUGCCAACAGCCAGGCGGUCGGGCCGGCCCCCGCAGUGGGGGAGCAGGCUGCCCCGAAGUGCGCUCGGGCCUGGAGGCCAAGGGCACAGCCACCAGCAUAAGGCUGGCCUCCCCAUAGCCCAGACAUGGUGACGUCCCUCCCGAGCCCACGCUGCAGCCCGAAACCCCUCCCUCCACAGAGACCGCCUCGCCCUCAGCAGCUCAGGGGCACAGCAGCUGCUCUCAGCCCCAGCUGUUCACUGCCCUGGACCACCGACGACUCCCUCAGGACUUCUGACUUAGCAGACGGGUUAGGCCGGCUCCUGGCCCAGGUACAGCCAAAGACUCGCCCCCUCACCCCAGGGAGAGACGCCAGGAGGGUCCUUGCAGCCCCUCCCCGUUCCAUCAACAAGGGUUAAUUAAAACGCAUGUGGUUCCGAGAAGUGACUGGAAGGGGGGCUGUGGUCUAUUAACUUAUCGUCUCCACUUCCACUGGGCGCGGGGUUCACACAUCUGCAGAUCAUCAGAGCGGAGAUUUCUGGCAAAGGAUGGCUUUGGUCCCCUGCAAGACGGUGUUUCCCAGGUGAACGCCCUAAACGGAGUGGUUAAAAGUGAAAAGCAUAAAUACCCACCCACCAAACGGAGUAAAAAUGGAAAUGUCUCCUGCUUGCGGAGGUGAGCCCGGAGCUUUGCAUCCGUUAACCUUCCCUGGGGGGCCUCUCGUCCCUUGCGAUGAUGGGCGGCCACCGAGACGGCGGACGGCCUGACCUUUAUUCAGCUAAAAGCAUGGGGCCCUGGGUGUUAAGUGGAUGUCACUCCGGGAUGGAAUUGAUCCUAGAAUGAGAAGCUCUGGAGCUGUCUUAGAUAAUGUGAUGGCAAAUGGACUCGGUGUGCUUGGCUCGGGCAAAUUAAACAAAACCCAAUGCAAAUAGUCCUUCCCCUGCUGAGCUGCUUCAGAGACAAGCAGCUCCUCUCCUCUGAAAGAAGGCCUGGUCCUCGGAGACCCAGCGGCUUUCACAGGAUUUUGGAGGGAAAUCCCUGAGCUUGCUGCACAAGGAAACUCCUGGGGGCAGUCAGGUCGACCUUAAUGUCUUCACUCUGAAGGAGUGGCUUUGAAUCUGAAAAAAUAAAUAUACGUAUAUUAAAAUAGUUAAGGAUACUUUUAAGAAGAUUCACAGGAAAGCACUUGCCCCACCAAAAUCAAACAAAGAACGGCAGGCGGUAACAUGGACACAGGCCCCUUCUCAGAGACGGCAGUCACCAACACGGGGUAAACGGCCAAAGCCACGUAAAGACACCGGGAAGCCCGCAGAGCACACGGAGGAGAGAGGCUCAAGCUCGGGGAAAGGCGUCUGGGAAGAGGAGGCGUCAGGGCCCGUCUUCCUGGACCACCACCUUCAGGGAGCACAGAAGGCAAGGCCCGGCCGGCCAGGCCGACAGGCCCGGGGUCAGUGUCCAGGCCCCCCACCCCGUCCAGCAGACUCACCACCUACAGGGAGCGCAGAAGGCAAGGCCCGGCCGGCCAGGCUGACAGGCCCGGGGUACACAUAGAAAUGCCGCACGACCCAGUGAUUCCACUCCUCGGCUUUACCCGGGAGACAUGGGACAGCAGACGGUGGGGACAGCCCCAGGGUCCUCAGCUGAGGACACAGAGGCAGUCUGUCCAUAAAGUGCGUGGACUGACCAUCCGGCCUUAAGAAGGGAUGGAGCCUCACGCUCGCUGCAGCACCGUGAACCCUGCAGACAGUCUGCUCAGUGAAGGGUGCUGGAUGCAAAGGGCAGAUACUGUGUGAAUCCAUUUAUGGGAAAUGUCAGGACAGGCAAACCCACGGAGACAGAAAGCAGGUUUUGCUUCCAGGGGCUGGGGGAAGACAGGAGGGGCGUCAGAGCUGCACGGGUAGGGAGGAACCCUUGGAGUGAUGACGUGUUUCAGAACGCUAUAGGGGUGGUGGUCCCAAAAUACCGUGAGUGUGCCACACACCCCCGAACCGUUCACUUUAAAAUGGUCGUGUUACACGAAUCCCACUUCAGUAAAAUGAAACAAGUCGUGGAAGUUACGGAGAUGAUCCUAAGAACUGCCAGAGCUGUGUGCAAACUCAGAAGCCUCCCCAGGCCAAGGUGCAGGCAGUCCCUGACUCCAGGCAAUGGCCCGUGUCCCCCAGGCUUGAUCCCCACGAGGGUGGCAUCCUGAUGAUGGCCUCUUGCCCCUUCAGACUAACUCAGUCUGGCAGGGACACAGACGUCAGUGCUCAGCAGGCUGAGAGCAGGCGGAAUGCUGGUCCCCCUCUGCUGACGCCCUUGGCCAUUCCCCACACCCCCACCCGUUAUACGCAGAGCUCUCAUUUGAUGCCUGAUAACCCAGUACAGGUCAAGUCUCACCUGCCAUGAGUCCUUCCCACUUGCAUCAGAGAACUGGCUUAUGGUUUCAAGAGUUUGUUCGUGGUCCCAAAUUAUUUGUAUGUCUGUCUGUCUGUGGGGCCGGCGGGGCAGCCUCUCCCUCUUCUGGUCUCAGAGAAAGUCCCUUUCGGUCACAGGCGAGCCUGGGUUUGCCAUCUGAGCAGGCUCGGCCCGCAUGCCCACUUAAUCUAAACCAUUAAGAUGUUCUGGGCGGAUCAGAUCGUUUCGGGCCGCACGCCGUCCCCGGGCCCAGGCACCCAACAGCCGCCACGUCUGACUACACGGUGCCGCGCUGAGCUGACUGGCCGUGCGGGGCUGUUUGCGUGGGCGAUGAGGGUGCAGUGAUCCAGAAAGAACGCGGGUCCAGGCAGGCAGCUCUUUCCCUAACACCCUGCUCCGCAGUCAGGAAAUACAGCGCCCGCACCCCUGGGGGUGUGAACACUCUGUUAAAACCAGCAACCAGGAGGGAAGAGAUCCAGAGAUGUGGCCGCAUCACGGAUGCAGAG